rnacentral:lncRNA from 1 species
UGAGCCUCUUUUGGCGGUCGGCAAGGAUGGGAAAGAUGAUAUGAUUUCACGACUCAUAGAGAAAGUGAUGGAGCUGUAGCUUGAAUUCUUUUACUUCAAAUCCACAAUGCCAUGCCUCGCUCCAGUGAAGGACGGACUGCUGUUCUGUCUCCUAAAACCCACACAGCUCGCCUGGGUGCUUGAGUGAUAGUCAAAUCUCCUAUACCAAUCAUGGAGCAGAGGUGCUAUGAGAGAUUCCUAACUCCUGAAAAACUGUGACAAAGGAUAGCACCAGAACAAAAGGGGCAGGAUGACUGCAACGUGAGUGGUGGAACAUCCUGUUGCUGAAGAGCCCUUGCCAUGCUGAAGCAAGCAGUUUUAUAGCCUGCAGCUGUACCCUAAGUGGGAGUGCGACAGAGAGCCUCCUGCCUUGUCAGGCUCCAGGAGGCAAUAACGAACUGUCUCCUGACAGCCUUUUAAGAAGAUACGGAGGCAAGUUAGAGAUGGCCUUGUAGUAAGUAGCUCCUUCCACACUCUAUAUUAUCGUUAGUCUUCUGCUCACAAAAGUGUUUGAAUGUACUGCUACCAGAGUAUUUCCAGAUUCCAAAAUUGCAAGCAAAUUUUCAAGUGCUGAGAUGAAAUCAACCGCAGUAACAAAAAUAUACUAGCUCCAUUUAUUAUUACCCAGAUUAUCAAAGAUCUUUU